rnacentral:rRNA from 1 species
UACGGGGGGAGCAAGCGUUGUUCGGAUUUACUGGGCGUAAAGGGCGCGUAGGCGGCCACCGCAAGUCGAUUGUGAAAUCUCCGGGCUUAACCCGGAAAGGUCAACCGAUACUGCGGGGCUAGAGUGCAGAAGGGCAACUGGAAUUCUCGGUGUAGCGGUGAAAUGCGUAGAUAUCGAGAGGAACACCUGCGGCGAAGGCGGGUUGCUGGGCUGACACUGACGCUGAAGUGCGAAAGCUAGGGGAGCGAACGGG